CUUACUCCCAAUUAGAUUGUAUUAUAUCGUGUCAUCUUGCAUCCCAACAUCAUAGUUAGUAAAAUAAGUUCUCCUUCUUAGAUCGUUGCCGCUGCUUCAUUUUUCUCGGGAAGCCAGGGGGGAGAGGGGCCCGCCAGCCUACUGCCCCCGUCACGGGCACAGAUCUAUCUAGGUAACUCCGUGACACUCCCUCUAGGAUGGGAUGUGGUCUGAAGAUAGGUGUGACUGGGGAUUCUGCAUGUCUCAUUUCCACAUCUCAACAUCAGCUUGUUCUUUUACAGAGGGCUGGGAGGAGUGGGGUCAGAAGGUCCCACCUGUCUGGAACUGCUUGGCCUGAUCCUGGUGCCCAGUUUCAAUGCUGUCCUGGGGAAUUGCAUCCAUCCUCCUUUCCCCCCUCCUCUGACAGAGCUGCCCUGCUUCAGCUCUGCCGCAGCCCAUCUGGGAACUGCCUGGGUGCAGGCAGAAGGGAGCAGCAGCCUUCCUGCUGCCAGACACUGAGCAGAUGGUUUCAUCCACACCUAGACAAGGCUCUGUCUACUGGGCUGACCUGGGAGGCUAAACAGUUGUGUGAACACAUUCUCUCUGUCACUGCUGGCUUUUCCUGUGCAGCUGUCCCGAGGGACAAAGAGAGGGGUCGGCAUGUGGGAUGGCUGAGCGCGUGGAACACCUUGAUGCCAGCCCAGGUCUGCAGGGACUGAGUGCCAGCAGAGGAGGAAGGUGGACCCAGCUGCUUGCGUAGCAGGGCUCAUUUUGCAGAGGUUGCCAGUCACACACUGACCGCAGUGCUUGACAGCUCCCGAGGGAGGAAGCAAUCUGUGUCAUCUCACAGCGGGCUUCCUUAAAUCUCAGCCUGAUUAAGUGGUGGCAAUAUGGGCUGCCCGAUAUGAAACAGCCAGCUUCCUUCUCUGAAAAGGGCCGAUCGUUAGUACUGAAAUAGCCUGUUAAUUGCGUGCAUUUUCCUGCAGUCAGAGGCCGGUAACACAUGAAAUCACCAGAUUCUGACUUUGUGUGAGUAGAUAUCUGGAGACAACCAGCAUCACAUUGGUUACAAAGCGAGUCUGCCAUGCAUCUGAGAAAGGUGAAUUUGAACACUCUGCGUUUCUUUUCAACAUCAGGGUGUGUGAGAGAUUUGGGAAAUAUCCUCUCAGCUUUUGCCAUCUUGUCUGACCUUGAAAAUACAGUCCUUGUGGUGAGAUAUGGGCUGAAAUACCCUUGGACUGCACGCAGAGAUGGUGAGGCUUGCAAGAAAGCUUUGCUGUAGAAGAAGAGAUGGUGUGGAAGGCCCUUGGAAGGGCCUUUGUGGCAGUGGUUUUCCAUCAGCACAUUUACUGAGAGCUGUAUCACAGUCAGUCUGGAAAGGGAGUUUAAUGCACAGACCACUGUUAAAAAGUGCUGUAAGUAGUUACAUUAGAGAUAUUUAUUCAUUUCAAAGAGAUAAAAGCUUUCUGGGAUCAGUGCAGUCAUCUUAGCUUGUGGCUGUUGUUUUUCUUAGUUUCUUGUGUAUUUUAGAGAUCCAGUUAAUUGUAGGCUGAUGCUCAGAAGAAUACAGCUCAAGCUGAACUGUUUUCUUUAUUUUCCUUUCCCUCCGUUCUCAGACAGCAGUGAGCUGGGGUCUGCCUUGGUAGUGGGUCCUCAGCAUUCGACCUAUAGGAAUAAAAUACUGUCAGCUACGUUUGUGCUGAUACACAGUCAAACAUUAGUGAUUCUCCAGUUUGCAGAGCAGAGAGAUAUGGAGGUAAUGUAAAUGACAGCAUCAAUCCAUUUUGCCUGGUGAACGCUAUGUAGAAGACAUAAAUUAAGAGUUGUCUGCUGGAAUCCUCUGGAGAUGUGAUAUGGGGGCCAUCAGCCUCAGGUGCUGCUUCUUUGUCUGCAGGUUCCCAGUGCUACAGGGAGAAAUGUGGGAUGGCCUUGCCUUGCACACUCCUUAAUUUCAGCAUGCUGGUUAGAAGUGGCGUUAAACUUGGAGACAUUUAUGUGCAACUUUCUACCCGAAAAGCUUUCUUAGAGACCCUGCCAUCUUUUACGGACAUGUUAUAUAGGGAUUUCUUGCUCUCUGUUGGAAGGCAGGAGUCUCAAUGAGUUGGACCCUCUUGAGCAGUGUGGUUAUGCCUCGCAGGGAAGUUAUGACCUCCAGCACAGGGUUGUGCUGAGGAACAGCCUUCAGCAGUUGGGAUCAGAUCUGAAAUAUCUGCUACCGAGGACAUUUUUUUCCUAUGAACUGCCUCUGACUUCCAUGCUACAUAACGAAGCUCCCAGUGCUUGGGGAUGAGCACUUCUACACUGUAAUCUUUGGCCCAGGUCUCCUCUGAGCCCUCUGUAGUGUGCUGAGACACCGUCGGCAGUUGCUGGGGUUUCAGCGGUCCCAGAUUCCUAUGAUUCCGAAGAGGUGUGGAGGCCAAGGAUGAUCUAACUGUUGUUCAGUGAUCUGUCAAUCAUUAGAGGCCGAACUGAUCUCCUUCAAACAAGAGCCUGUGUGCAAAAAAGCUGUACCUGUGGUGUGGACAGACUGUGAGGAUCUAGAAACAAAACAGAGAAGAAAGCUGUGGGCAGUGUAGGCACAUGCAGAGGGAGCUUACUGGGAGCACAACAGUGCCCUUGUACCCUCCAGAGAUAUGAGUUCAAGCCCUACUUCCUACUUCCCAGCAGUGUCUCUUGCCUCCCUGAUGAGCAUUGCCCUGGACUGCUUGGGCUAGUAGGCCUCAGUUUCCAUGGAGAGGUUCAGUUUGGGACCUGAAACUUGUUUUGAUGUAAGGCCUAGGAUUUAGACCAACCUAGUGACCCAAGAAGAAGAACCACUGUCUGCCAGGACCCUCUCCUCUUGGGUCAUGUUUGGGUAAUCUGUUUCAUUCCCCUUAAAGUCUCUCUAGAUCCUGAUGGCAGAUGCUAAUAAUAAUUGCGAUUUAGAAUCAUAGAACAGAAUCAUAGAAUCACUAGGGUUGGAAAAGACCUGUAAGGUAUCUAGUCCAACUGUCCACCUACCACCAAUAUUGCCCACUUAAACAAUGUCCUUAAGUACCACAUCUCCACCCACUGUCAUCUCCUGGUGAUGACUGUCCUUCUGAGGAAGCCUUUGAUUGCUGUGAUCCUGUUUGAACUGUUCAGUAUCUGAUGGGUCUUCCUCUCCCCAGCCUAUUCUAGAAGCUGAUAAUCCUCUCCCCCCAGUAACAUCUUUUAAUAGUCCUCUUCUCCCCUUUCCUAGUAUGAGUGUCACCCUGCUCUGAUCAUGUCUCUCUCAGCCUCCUCUUUUCUUUCUGAUCAUGUCCUGGCCAUCUGCCUUUGCCCUGAGACCAGCUUUCCUUGCUGCCUUCCCUCUCUGCAGCUCAUUGUUGCUGGCAUGUCCCAUCAGGCUGGCAACAUUUGCAAAAUGAAAAUGUCUUCUACCACAUUUUUCAGUUUUGUCACCAAAAUCUGACAGAGCCAAGAAUAUGAAGCUGCUUCUGCUGCCCCGUGUGUGCUCGGUGACCUGAAGGCAACCUAGCCAAGGCUCUCCUGAGCAGUUCCCAAGCCAUUCUUGCUCUCAUGCUUUGCUGCUCCAGGAAGAAAGGGCAGUUCUUGGAUCACCACAGCCUGCUUGACUUCUCCAAUCUCAAAUUAUUCUGCUUCUGACAUAGGUAGCAGGCUAGCAGCUGGCACUUGUGAUUGCUGAGGAGGGAUUGUUUUCAGGACAUGUGAGAAAAGAAGAGACUGACAGUGCAGAUGGAAAGGAAGAAAAUGCCAAGUGAUUAAACAGCUGUAGAUGAAUGGAGAUGCAGCUUAAGAGAUUGACUGUUGCCUGCUGAGUGGAGAGAUGGAAGGAAAGAUUGCGUUCACAUGCACCGGGGUUGCAAAUCCCACCCCUCCCCCCGCAGAUCUUAAAUUGUGUUUGUUACUUGUUUUGAGCCUUCUCGUGUAUAAACCUUCACACAGCUCUGUACUGCACCUUUAUAGCCCCAGCUACUAUUUCUACCUCCCAGAACCUCUGACCUUGUUUUCUGGGCAGAGAUCCUAUAAAAUAAAACUUACGCAGUCAAACAA